UUGAGCUGAAGGCCGCCCCCUCUCGCUGGGUGCAACAGGAUCGGGUGUGUCUCCCAGCCAGGAGGCAGCUGAUUAAGUGCACCAGGUGGAGACAAUCUGGAAAUCAGGAUGGUUUGGAGGCGCUCACUCACAGGGCAUUGAUGAGCGAGGAGUGUGUGAAGGAACUGGUGCUUGGGAAAAGGAGAUUGCAGGAUUAAAACUCGCAAAGAUAGAAGAAGGAGCUGGUUUUUCACCUGAAUUUGCUUUGGACAAUUUUCAAAAAUGAAAGGAAGAAAAGAAAGAAGUCUGAAUCUUGGUCAUUGAGUGAAUUCCAGUCUAAUCUUCUGAGCAAGUUGCCUUUUCAAGUGGGGGAGCUGCAGUUUAAACUUCACAUCACAAGUGAAUGCCACUUGACAGCACACGGGUCAACCUUUCCAUCCACCUCUCGAGGUAAACACAGUUUGUUCUGCAGAAAAGCAGCCACGAGGAGAGUCACAAUGACCCUAACAGAACCUGGGCGCUCAGACUCCCCAGUCAGCCUGCGCCCCAUCGAGACACCGGGCGUCGUAACAAAGAGCAGCUGCUAAAAGUUAUCUUUGAGGGCAGGUUCAAGCCGGCCGCUCCAGGGUGCAUCACCGUGUCCUGCUAAGCACACAGCAUCUGAUGGGCUUCUUCCCUCAGGUCAACGCCAGAACUAUCCGUGGCAAAAGGGUUUUUAUUUCUAUUUAACUUCAUAGAGUCAAGGUAAGAGCAGAGGAUAAAAACUAAAUAGUUGGUGCAAACUUUUUCGCUAAGCGGAAAAGUUGCCGCAAAUGUCUCAGAGAAGUUGUCCCCGCUCGUCUGCGGUUUAAACGUCUUCGGCCUCUUCCUUUAAUUACAAACUGACUCCAUGACGUAGGGGUGAGAGAUUUCUGAAGACCACGUGCAGUAGAGCUCUGUUGUUCCUCAUGACAAUAUUAAAACUGGCUCAUUUUACUCCAUACAAAUUGUAAAGCAUUGUAGA